rnacentral:rRNA from 1 species
AAUAGAUACCUGGUAGUCCAUGCCGUAAACGAUGUCUACUAGCCGUUGGGGCCUUUGAGGCUUUAGUGGCGCAGCUAACGCGAUAAGUAGACCGCCUGGGGAGUACGGUCGCAAGACUAAAACUCAAAUGAAUUGACGGGGGCCCGCACAAGCGGUGGAGCAUGUGGUUUAAUUCGAUGCAACGCGAAGAACCUUACCUGGCCUUGACAUACUAGAAACUUUCCAGAGAUGGAUUGGUGCCUUCGGGAAUCUAGAUACAGGUGCUGCAUGGCUGUCGUCAGCUCGUGUCGUGAGAUGUUGGGUUAAGUCCCGCAACGAGCGCAACCCUUUUCCUACUUGCCAGCAUUUCGGAUGGGAACUUUAAGGAUACUGCCAGUGACAAACUGGAGGAAGGCGGGGACGACGUCAAGUCAUCAUGGCCCUUAGGCCAGGGCUACACACGUGCUACAAUGGUCGGUACAAAGGGUUGCUACCUAGCGAUAGGAUGCUAAUCUCAAAAAGCCGAUCGUAGUCCGGAUUGGAGUCUGCUAAC